GUCUUUUAGACAUUGGGUAGGGGAGCGUUCUGUAAGCCGUUGAAGGUGAAUCGUAAGGUUUGCUGGAGGUAUCAGAAGUGCGAAUGCUGACAUGAGUAACGACAAAGGGGGUGAAAAACCUCCUCGCCGGAAGACCAAGGGUUCCUGUCCAACGUUAAUCGGGGCAGGGUGAGUCGACCCCUAAGGUGAGGCCGAAAGGCGUAAUCGAUGGGAAACGGGUUAAUAUUCCCGUACUUCUGACUAUUGCGAUGGGGGGACGGAGAAGGCUAGGUGGGCCAGGCGACGGUUGUCCUGGUUCAAGUGCGUAGGCUUGAGAGUUAGGUAAAUCCGGCUCUCUCUAAGGCUGAGACACGACGUCGAGCUACUACGGUAGUGAAGUCAUUGAUGCCAUGCUUCCAGGAAAAGCCUCUAAGCUUCAGAUAGUCAGGAAUCGUACCCCAAACCGACACAGGUGGUCGGGUAGAGAAUACCAAGGCGCUUGAGAGAACUCGGGUGAAGGAACUAGGCAAAAUGGUACCGUAACUUCGGGAGAAGGUACGCUCUUGAUGGUGAAGUCCCUCGCGGAUGGAGCUGACGAGAGUCGCAGAUACCAGGUGGCUGCAACUGUUUAUUAAAAACACAGCACUGUGCAAAAUCGCAAGAUGACGUAUACGGUGUGACGCCUGCCCGGUGCCGGAAGGUUAAUUGAUGGGGUUAGCGCAAGCGAAGCUCUUGAUCGAAGCCCCGGUAAACGGCGGCCGUAACUAUAACGGUCCUAAGGUAGCGAAAUUCCUUGUCGGGUAAGUUCCGACCUGCACGAAUGGCGUAAUGAUGGCCACGCUGUCUCCACCCGAGACUCAGUGAAAUUGAAAUCGCUGUGAAGAUGCAGUGUACCCGCGGCUAGACGGAAAGACCCCGUGAACCUUUACUACAGCUUGGCACUGAACAUUGAACCUACAUGUGUAGGAUAGGUGGGAGGCUAUGAAGACGUGACGCCAGUUGCGUUGGAGCCGUCCUUGAAAUACCACCCUUGUAUGUUUGAUGUUCUAACUUAGACCCAUUAUCUGGGUUGAGGACAGUGCCUGGUGGGUAGUUUGACUGGGGCGGUCUCCUCCCAAAGAGUAACGGAGGAGCACGAAGGUGGGCUAAUCACGGUUGGACAUCGUGAGGUUAGUGCAAUGGCAUAAGCCCGCUUAACUGCGAGAAUGACGGUUCGAGCAGGUGCGAAAGCAGGUCAUAGUGAUCCGGUGGUUCUGUAUGGAAGGGCCAUCGCUCAACGGAUAAAAGGUACUCCGGGGAUAACAGGCUGAUACCGCCCAAGAGUUCAUAUCGACGGCGGUGUUUGGCACCUCGAUGUCGGCUCAUCACAUCCUGGGGCUGAAGUCGGUCCCAAGGGUAUGGCUGUUCGCCAUUUAAAGUGGUACGCGAGCUGGGUUUAGAACGUCGUGAGACAGUUCGGUCCCUAUCUGCCGUGGGCGUUGGAAGAUUGAAGGGGGCUGCUCCUAGUACGAGAGGACCGGAGUGGACGAACCUCUGGUGUUCGGGUUGUGUCGCCAGACGCAUUGCCCGGUAGCUAAGUUCGGAAUUGAUAAGCGCUGAAAGCAUCUAAGCGCGAAGCGAGCCCUGAGAUGAGUCUUCCCUGACAGUUUAACUGUCCUAAAGGGUUGU
rnacentral:rRNA from 1 species